AUUGAACGCUGGCGGCAGGCCUAACACAUGCAAGUCGAGCGGAAACGAGUUAUCUGAACCUUUGGGGGACGAUAACGGCGUCGAGCGGCGGACGGGUGAGUAAUGCCUAGGAAAUUGCCCUGAUGUGGGGGAUAACCAUUGGAAACGAUGGCUAAUACCGCAUAAUGCCUACGGGCCAAAGAGGGGGACCUUCGGGCCUCUCGCGUCAGGAUAUGCCUAGGUGGGAUUAGCUAGUUGGUGAGGUAAUGGCCCACCAAGGCGACGAUCCCUAGCUGGUCUGAGAGGAUGAUCAGCCACACUGGAACUGAGACACGGUCCAGACUCCUACGGGAGGCAGCAGUGGGGAAUAUUGCACAAUGGGCGCAAGCCUGAUGCAGCCAUGCCGCGUGUGUGAAGAAGGCCUUCGGGUUGUAAAGCACUUUCAGUCGUGAGGAAGGUAGUGUAGUUAAUAGCUGCAUUAUUUGACGUUAGCGACAGAGGAAGCACCGGCUAACUCCGUGCCAGCAGCCGCGGUAAUACGGAGGGUGCGAGCGUUAAUCGGAGUUACUGGGCGUAAAGCGCAUGCAGGUGGUUUGUUAAGUCAGAUGUGAAAGCCCGGGGCUCAACCUCGGAAUAGCAUUUGAAACUGGCAGACUAGAGUACUGUAGAGGGGGGUAGAAUUUCAGGUGUAGCGGUGAAAUGCGUAGAGAUCUGAAGGAAUACCGGUGGCGAAGGCGGCCCCCUGGACAGAUACUGACACUCAGAUGCGAAAGCGUGGGGAGCAAACAGGAUUAGAUACCCUGGNUAGUCCACGCCGUAAACGAUGUCUACUUNGGAGGUUGUGGCCUUGAGCCGUGGCUUUCGGAGCUAACGCGUUAAGUAGACCGCCUGGGGAGUACGGUCGCAAGAUUAAAACUCAAAUGAAUUGACGGGGGCCCGCACAAGCGGUGGAGCAUGUGGUUUAAUUCGAUGCAACGCGAAGAACCUUACCUACUCUUGACAUCCAGAGAACUUUCCAGAGAUGGAUUGGUGCCUUCGGGAACUCUGAGACAGGUGCUGCAUGGCUGUCGUCAGCUCGUGUUGUGAAAUGUUGGGUUAAGUCCCGCAACGAGCGCAACCCUUAUCCUUGUUUGCCAGCGAGUAAUGUCGGGAACUCCAGGGAGACUGCCGGUGAUAAACCGGAGGAAGGUGGGGACGACGUCAAGUCAUCAUGGCCCUCACGAGUAGGGCUACACACGUGCUACAAUGGCGCAUACAGAGGGCAGUAAGCUAGCGAUAGUGAGCGAAUCCCAAAAAGUGCGUCGUAGUCCGGAUUGGAGUCUGCAACUCGACUCCAUGAAGUCGGAAUCGCUAGUAAUCGUGGAUCAGAAUGCCACGGUGAAUACGUUCCCGGGCCUUGUACACACCGCCCGUCACACCAUGGGAGUGGGCUGCAAAAGAAGUAGGUAGUUUAACCUUCGGGAGGACGCUUACCACUUUGUGGUUCAUGACUGGGGUG
rnacentral:rRNA from 1 species